rnacentral:rRNA from 1 species
UACAGAGGGGGCAAGCGUUGUUCGGAAUUACUGGGCGUAAAGGCGCGUAGGCGGCCUUCUAAGUCGAACGUGAAAUCCCUGGGCUCAACCCAGGAACUGCGUCCGAUACUGGAAGGCUUGAAUCCGGGAGAGGGAUGCGGAAUUCCAGGUGUAGCGGUGAAAUGCGUAGAUAUCUGGAGGAACACCGGUGGCGAAGGCGGCAUCCUGGACCGGCAUUGACGCUGAGGCGCGAAAGCCAGGGGAGCAAACGGG